rnacentral:rRNA from 1 species
AUUGAACGCUGGCGGCAGGCCUAACACAUGCAAGUCGAACGAGUGGCGGACGGGUGAGUAAUGUCUGGGAAACUGCCCGAUGGAGGGGGGUAACUACUGGAAACGGUAGCUAAUACCGCAUACCAUCGGAUGUGCCCAGAUGGGAUUAGCUAGUAGGUGGGUUAACGGCUAACCUAGGCGACGAUCCCUAGCUGCUCUGAGAUGAUGGCGACCCACACUGGAACUGAGCAACGGUCCAGACCCCUACGGGAGGCAGCAGUGGGGAAUAUUGUACAAGGGGCGCAAGCCUGAUGCAGCCAUGCCGCGUGUAUGAAGAAGGCCUUCGGGUUUUAAAGUACUUUCAGCGAGGAGGCGUUACUCGCAGAAGAAGCACCGGCUAACUCCGUGCCAGCAGCCGCGGUAAUAC